CUUUUCAGUCGGGCGCUGAGUGGUUUUUCGGAUCAUGUCUGGUGGCUCCGCGGAUUAUAACAGAGAACAUGGCGGCCCAGAGGGAAUGGACCCCGAUGGUGUCAUCGAGAGCAACUGGAAUGAGAUUGUUGAUAACUUUGAUGAUAUGAAUUUAAAGGAGUCUCUUCUUCGUGGCAUCUAUGCUUACGGUUUUGAGAAGCCUUCCGCUAUUCAGCAGAGAGCUAUUAUUCCCUGUAUUAAAGGGUAUGAUGUGAUUGCUCAAGCUCAGUCAGGUACUGGCAAGACAGCCACAUUUGCUAUUUCCAUCCUGCAACAGUUGGAGAUUGAGUUCAAGGAGACCCAAGCACUAGUAUUGGCCCCCACCAGAGAACUGGCUCAACAGGUAUUGAUAGUGUAGUUCAAAAAAACUGCUUGCGUGUUGCAUAGGUUUCAGGUUUCACAACUGUGAAGAAUUUAAAACUUAGUAUAAAUUGGUCCUACCAGAUCCCUCCUUUUAAUUGUCCAUGCAUGCAGGGAGUUUUUGUUGAAAGUUUUGAAAGAACUGGGUAUGCAGGUAUGGUUUGUAGGGUUGUAUACUA
rnacentral:sRNA from 1 species